UACGUAGGGUGCGAGCGUUUGUCCGGAAUUAUUGGGCGUAAAGGGCUCGUAGGCGGUUUGUCGCGUCGGGAGUGAAAACACUGGGCUUAACCGAGUGCUUGCUUUCGAUACGGGCAGACUUGAGGCAUUGAGGGGAGAACGGAAUUCCUGGUGUAGCGGUGAAAUGCGCAGAUAUCAGGAGGAACACCGGUGGCGAAGGCGGUUCUCUGGCAAUGUUCUGACGCUGAGGAGCGAAAGUGUGGGGAGCGAACAGG
rnacentral:rRNA from 1 species